ACUGCAUGGUUUGGGCAAGUUCCCCGUGCAGUCGCCAGCAGCAGUGAGUGUUCGUGUGGCGGUCUCCUGUGGGCAUACCUCACCACUGCAUGCCCAGGGUCCAGCUGUUCCUGUUUGAACCCUUGGACCCUAAGAGGCCUCGCUGACUUCUCAGACUAACACACGUGACACAUCUCAGCUAUCGGCACAUUAGUGACACUGGCCAGAUCCCAGGUCCUGUUCCUUCCCCCGCCACAUGUGUCCCCAGAUUUCUGCCUCAACCAAAAGAAGAGCUUCCGCCCUGGGGGAAGCUGGUCCUGCUGGGUCUGAAUCAAGUUACAGUGUUAGAAGCAAACUGGGCUGUUGGGUGGGAUCUCUGGCUCCACAUUCGCAGUGCCAUCGGGAUCUGGAUCCAGCUGUCUCUCGUUUUCAGGAUUCCCUGCAUGGAUUGCUUGGGUGCAGUGUGGAAGGAGCCACUGUCAACCCUGGAGCAACCAUUGGAAUGUAGAACUCACGGCUACUGUUCCAGAGCCAUGCCUGUCUGCCUCCCGCCUUGAUGGUGGACGAGCCCUCGAAACUGAAAGCCAGGCCCCAGUUAAACGCUUCAUUUUUCUAAGAGUCGCCUUGGUCAUGCUGCCUCUUCAGAGCAACAGAACAGUAACUACAACAGAUGCCUUUCAACCCAGCUUGUAAUGCAGAAACAGUCUUCUCAAGGCCCUGGGAGGCUGUGAUGUCUCUCCAGCUGCUGCCGUCAGCCAGUGCUCCUUUAAGAGACGGUUCUAGGAAGACUGGAAACACAUCCCGACCAUGAUGUGUGAGAUCCUCCUGAUGGAGGUACACAUUCACUGUUGUGAGCACAAGAUGUCAAAAAUAGAUGGUCAGAUUUCUGUCCACAACAUCAGUUUACCAAGUAACAAUAAAUCCAAGAGCUAUGUCGA